rnacentral:lncRNA from 1 species
UACGUGUGUGUAUACAUUAUAUACAAGAACCCUCUAUUGCCAUUUUCCACAGCAAUAAUAAAAUAAAAUCAAAAUCAAAUAAAAGUAAAAAUCGAACGUCCCCCACGAUCGAUCAUCUUAUCCACUCAAAAUUUCAAAAUAUAUAGCUCGUGUACUUAGAGAUGAAUCCGCCCGAGCGUUCGAAAAGUUUAUUCAUAUAAUGAAUG